GCAGCAGUGGUUCAGUGGUAGAAUUCCCGCCUUCCAUUCAGGAGACCUGGGUUUGAUUCCUGGUCUAUGCA
rnacentral:tRNA from 1 species